AUUGAACGCUGGCGGCAGGCCUGACACAUGCAAGUCGAGCGGAUGAAGGGAGCUUGCUCCUGGAUUCAGCGGCGGACGGGUGAGUAAUGCCUAGGAAUCUGCCUGGUAGUGGGGGAUAACGUCCGGAAACGGGCGCUAAUACCGCAUACGUCCUGAGGGAGAAAGUGGGGGAUCUUCGGACCUCACGCUAUCAGAUGAGCCUAGGUCGGAUUAGCUAGUUGGUGGGGUAAAGGCCUACCAAGGCGACGAUCCGUAACUGGUCUGAGAGGAUGAUCAGUCACACUGGAACUGAGACACGGUCCAGACUCCUACGGGAGGCAGCAGUGGGGAAUAUUGGACAAUGGGCGAAAGCCUGAUCCAGCCACGCCGCGUGUGUGAAGAAGGUCUUCGGAUUGUAAAGCACUUUAAGUUGGGAGGAAGGGCAGUAAGUUAAUACCUUGCUGUUUUGACGUUACCAACAGAAUAAGCACCGGCUAACUUCGUG
rnacentral:rRNA from 1 species